AACGAACGCUGGCGGCAGGCUUAACACAUGCAAGUCGAACGCGUGUAGCAAUACACGAGUGGCGCACGGGUGAGUAACGCGUGGAUAUCUGCCUUUUGGUUCGGAAUAACCCCGGGAAACUGGGGCUAAUACCGGAUGGUUCCUUCGGGAUAAAGAUUUAUCGCCAAAAGAUGAGUCCGCGUACGAUUAGCUAGUUGGUGAGGUAAUGGCUCACCAAGGCGACGAUCGUUAGCCGGUCUGAGAGGACGAUCAGCCACACUGGGACUGAGACACGGCCCAGACUCCUACGGGAGGCAGCAGUGGGGAAUAUUGGACAAUGGGGGCAACCCUGAUCCAGCCAUGCCGCGUGAGUGAUGAAGGCCUUCGGGUUGUAAAGCUCUUUUGGCGGGGACGAUGAUGACGGUACCCGCAGAAUAAGCCCCGGCUAACUUCGUGCCAGCAGCCGCGGUAAGAC
rnacentral:rRNA from 1 species